AGUGCAUAAAAGGAACAUACCGUACUUGCAAGAGCGUGUUGCAGAGAUUUAAAACUACGAAAGUCGUAAAUGUAACUGUUAUCCGCAUUCAUUGUCACGGGAUCGAAGCAAGAAAAACAGAACUAACGUAACUUAUUCUGUUUGUUAUUUUAUUAAUUAGAGAAGUAUUUUAUUCAUUAAAGAAUACUAUUCUUGCUUUUUUUACAUUCUAGUCAUAGUACAAGAUGGUUUCUCUCAGAUUUUGUGGUCCCAAAUUGUCGAUAUGCUGCUCCAUUUUAAGUGUAUGGGGUAUUAUUAUGUUAGUUUUAUUGGGUAUAUUUCUGGGUGUAAACAGUGUAGCAUUUGCUGAGGAUCUGCCUUUAGAAACAGUUAUCGAAGAUGUUUUGAAUAAAGGAAAAGAUUUUCCGACAGAGAUGAAGAGAGUGUAUACCCAAGCUUCUUACAACUGUUUGAUUGCUGCUUGCCUCUAUGUCUUGAGUCUGUGUCUUUCUGUGUGGCAGUAUUAUUUAAAUCGUCGUGCCGUCAGUUCCACCACGUAAUUCUGAAUAAGUUAUAAUUAAAUUUGAUGUUACGUAAAAAGGUUGGUGUUUAUUGAUAGAAAAGUCUAGACUGAAGUUACUCAAAAUUGGGAAUAAGUUUGUAGAGGAAAUAUUUCAGGAGGGCAAAUGGAAUGAUUUUUAAUGUGUAUAAUUUUUUAAUAAAUUCGGAUAAAUUGUACCUCUUGUAACUAAUGUUUAAUUUAUAAAGUCAACUAUAUUUCAGAUUAUAUAUUGUCUACAGUGAAUUAUAUUACAUUUUUAAAGAUUAUAAGUUCAUUUUCCUUUUGAAAUUGUCAUUGUAAAGUUUUAUGUAGUUUCGUCUGCCUCAUUUUCCCAUCAUAAUUCUAAGGUAUCUUUCUAUAACUAUAGUCAUUAUGUUACUAUUGUAGAACUUAUUGUAAGAAUAGAUGAAUGAACAUUUUUUAAAGCAUUUAAAUCUUUUGCUUUAAAAAUAAACUUUAAUUUAUUGUGUUCGAGAAGCUUUUUGAAAAAAGAAGAGUUUUAAGAUACAAAGAUUUGUAAACAGUUUUACAAUGUUUGUAAAUGUACUUGAGAUGAUUUUUUUAAAAAUUCACUAAAUUAUCAUUUAAUUAGUUCUUACACUAAGCUCUUUAAUGAAAUAGAGUAAUUUAACUUUGUCUAAGUUUGCUAGUGAAAAAAUUGCAUGAAGUUAACCGUAGUAUCAAAAUUUAAGGAGUAAACCGCAGCUCUAUCUUCAUUAAUUUUAAUUUCCGUGUGAUUCUGUGCACAGUCAAAGAUUAUUAUUAUAAUAAAUUCAGCCUAAUCUAAUAGAUAUACAUAGAAAAAUUUGCAAGUUUUUAAAAAUUAUGCAUGUUCUUUCAACUUACUUUGAAUGCACAAUUAUGCUAAAAAGAAAAAGAGGAAUAAAUCAUUAUAUAGUAUGAGCCUGUAGACAACCAGCAGAAGAAAAAUUAAUUUUUUUUCCGUACCUUUCAGUUUUUUUUUUUCCCACACUGCUUUAUAAUUUUUAAUAUAAACAAGUUUCGAGAUGUUUUAAAAAGGAGUUGAUGUUUUAAAAGUAAUUUUUCUUUACUUUUUUCUAUGGAUAAUUUGAGAUGAAAAAUAAUCUGAAGGUAUUGUGAUAAUCUGCAUCACCUGCUGCCAUAUUGGAGGGUUUCUGUUACCUUGAAGUUAACAGAUUUUCUUUUGUAUUCCUUUCUUCAACUAACUUGUUGAAUUUACCUAUACAAUGCAUUCCUCUUUUGUGUCAGAAAUUUUUCAAACUUUUUCUUUUUAAUAAAUUGUUUUAUUAGGACAAGUAUAUCUGAUAUUUUUUUUCUUCCUGUGAAUGAAGGGGUUAAUUAUAUAUAUAUAUAUUUAUAUUUGUAUUUAUAGUGAAGCCUUGUUUUUUUUUCACUUUUUACUUCCUGUAUUGCAAACCGAUGUCAGUCCAUUGCGGUUUCUUUCUCUUUUUUUUUCUUCAAUUCAUUGCCAUUGAAAUAUAGAUCUAAAACUUAUUAAAUUUGUUUUAGUUUGAUUUAAUGCUAUGACUAUAAAAAAAUAACAAGUUUGAGAAUCGCUUCAACGAAGUAAAAGAAAUACCUACAAUAGUGCAUUGUAAAAAAUAUAAAAGAAUGCCACAAAUUACAUCACAUAAUCAGUGUUUUAAUUUUUAUAUUCUUCGUCAAAAAUUUAUGUACAAAUUAAUACAGUCUUAUUUCUCUUCAAUAAUUUUUAGUUUGAGUUAAAUAGAUGUAACAUUACUCGAUUGCUUUUAGCUCUGUGUGCUGGCUUAAAAUCCUACUAGAAAGUCAACUAUUGUUUUGAAAGAAAUUUUGUGAUAUAACAUUUUCCAAAAUGACUUUGUGAUGUUUUAUGUAUAACAAUGGAAAAUUAGAGUUUAAAUUUUGAAUAUGUUAUUUCUGUUCAUAACGAUUUUAUUGUCCUUGUACUCAUUAAAGUCUUAUUUAUUUGUGCUAAAGUUAUAAAGACCAUUCUCACUGGAUGUGAUUUUUUUUGUAUGCAACUGAGGACUGGAUCGGUUGAAAAUAUUUUUCCUGGGAAAAACUCACUUGUUAGGUUCCCAUUUGCAGGAAAAAUAGCAUCUAGGGAGAAUGGCCUUUUAUUUUUCACCCCAUAUGUGUUGAUCAUACUUUACCAUUCACUUAGGACUUCCGUUAAAAAAUAAAGUAGCUACGAGUUAAAUUACUUUUUUUUUCGAUGGUUAUUUCGUAGCUAAUUACUAGUAGUUGAACUAAAUACUUUUUAAACUUGUUUUGCAAAGUUGUAAAAAAAAAAUGAUGAUAAUACAUAGCUUAGUAAUUUUAGACCCAAGCUGGGGCCUGCAUUGAAAAUUAAAUUGUAAUCCAGCACUGAAUUUUUUUCACACUUGGUAAAGACUGUUGUAAUUUGAAAUGUCUCCUUAAUGUCUUGCUGUGUGUUUUAAAUUUUUGUAAAUAUUGUUCAUAUUCAAGAGUGGAGAUUUCUUGUAAUUAUUUUGGUAGUGCUAGAAAUUAAUUGUAAUCUAGAAUGUUAUAUUAAAGUUUAUUUACGUUCA